ACGCUCGACACCUACGGGGGCAGCAGUCGGGAAUAUUGCGCAAUGGAGGAAACUCUGACGCAGUGACGCCGCGUAUAGGAAGAAGGUUUUCGGAUUGUAAACUAUUGUCGUUAGGGAAGAUACAAGACAGUACCUAAGGAGGAAGCACCGGCUAACUAUGUACCAGCAGCCGCGGUAAUCUGAGCGGGCUGGCAAGGC
rnacentral:rRNA from 1 species